rnacentral:rRNA from 2 species
AGUACGUGAAACUGCUUAGAGGUUAAGCCCGAUGAACCUGAAUAUCCAUUAUGGAAAAUUCAAUAUUAAAAAUAUAAUAUAAAUCAUAUUAUAUAAAUAGUAUGCAAUUUUUCCAUAUAAGGACAUUGUAAUCUGUUAAUGUUAUAAAUAUUUAUCAAAAGAUCUAUUACUUAAGUUUAUUUAAAUUGUUUAUUUUCGGAUAUUCAACAUAAAAUAAAUGUUUUAGAUUAGAUAAAUCAUUGACAGAUAUAAUUAUAUAUUGUGCUCAAAUUCUUCGGAAUUUUACAAUAAUAAGUAGAUCUAUUGGUUUAUUUAUUUAUUGCAUGCACUUUUAUGAUUAACAAUGCGAUAGAUUCAGGAUACCUUCGGGACCCGUCUUGAAACACGGACCAAGGAGUCUAACAUAUGUGCAAGUCAUUGGGUAUUUUUAAUAAAACCCAAUGGCGUAAUUAACUUAACUGUUAUUUAUAAUGGGAUUAAUUUAUAUUUUGUUAUGAAUUAUUUAUUCAAUCCCGGGGCGUUCUAUACAGUUAUGCAUAAUGAUAUUUAUAUUAUUUAUGCCUCUAACUAGAGCGUACCUUGAGC